rnacentral:rRNA from 1 species
UACGUAGGGUGCAAGCGUUAAUCGGAAUUACUGGGCGUAAAGCGUGCGCAGGCGGUGAUGUAAGUCAGGUGUGAAAUCCCCGGGCUUAACCUGGGAACUGCAUUUGUGACUGCAUCGCUGGAGUGCGGCAGAGGGGGAUGGAAUUCCGCGUGUAGCAGUGAAAUGCGUAGAUAUGCGGAGGAACACCGAUGGCGAAGGCAAGCCCCUGGGCCUGCACUGACGCUCAUGCACGAAAGCGUGGGGAGCAAACAGG